rnacentral:rRNA from 1 species
GCAAAACGCGAAGAACCUUACCAAGGCUUGACAUAUAGAAGAACGGGUCAGAAAUGAUCAACUCUUUGGACACUUCUAUACAGGUGGUGCAUGGUUGUCGUCAGCUCGUGUCGUGAGAUGUUCGGUUAAGUCCGGCAACGAGCGCAACCCUCGUCCUAUGUUGCCAGCACGUAAUGGUGGGAACUCAUGGGAUACUGCCGUGGUCAACACGGAGGAAGGUGGGGAUGACGUCAAAUCAUCAUGCCCCUUAUGUCUUGGGCUUCACGCAUGCUACAAUGGCCGGUACAAUGGGCGGCGAUACCGUAAGGUGGAGCGAAUCCCAAAAAGCCGGUCUCAGUUCGGAUUGGGGUCUGCAACUCGACCCCAUGAAGUCGGAGUCGCUAGUAAUCGCAGAUCAGCAACGCUGCGGUGAAUACGUUCCCGGGUCUUGUACACACCG